rnacentral:rRNA from 1 species
UACGUAGGGGGCGAGCGUUGUCCGGAUUUAUUGGGCGUAAAGAGCUCGUAGGCGGCUGUUCGAGUCGGGUGUGAAAUCCUGAGGCUUAACCUUGGGUCUGCAUUCGAUACUGGGCGGCUUGAGUCUGGUAGGGGGAUCUGGAAUUCCUGGUGUAGUGGUGGAAUGCGCAGAUAUCAGGAGGAACACCGGUGGCGAAGGCAGCUCUCUGGGACGGUACUGACGCUGAGACGCGAAAGCGUGGGGAGCGAACAGG